rnacentral:rRNA from 1 species
GACGAACGCUGGCGGCGUGCUUAACACAUGCAAGUCGAACGAUGAAGCUGGAGCUUGCUCCGGUGGAUUAGUGGCGAACGGGUGAGUAACACGUGAGCAGUCUGCCCUUGACUCUGGGAUAACUGCGGGAAACUGUAGCUAAUACCGGAUAUGAGGCUUGGAGGCAUCUCCAGGCUUGGCAAGAUUUUAGGUCAAGGAUGAGCUCGCGGCCUAUAAGCUAGUUGGUGAGGUAAUGGCUCACCAAGGCGACGACGGGUAGCCGGCCUGCGAGGGGAACCGGCCACACUGGGACUGAGACACGGCCCAGACUCCUACGGGAGGCAGCAGUGGGGAAUAUUGCACAAUUGGCGAAAGCCUGAUGCAGCAGCGCCGCGUGAGGGAUGAAGGCCUUCGGGUUGUAAACCUCUUUUAGCAGGGAAGAAGCGAAAGUGACGGUACCUGCAGAAAAAGCACCGGCUAACUACGUGCCAGCAGCCGCCGUAA